AUUGAACGCUGGCGGCAGGCCUAACACAUGCAAGUCGAGCGGAGCGGCGGACGGGUGAGUAAGGCCUAGUAAUAUGCCUGGGAGUGGGGUAUAACGUCCGGAAACGGGCGCUAAUACCGCAUACUAUCAGAUGAGCCUAGGUCGUAUUAGCUAGUUGGUGGGGUAAAGGCAUACCAAGGCGACGAUCCGGAACCGGUCUGAGAGGAUGAUCAGUCACACUGGAACUGAGACACGGUCCAGACUCCUACGGGAGGCAGCAGUGGGGAAUGUUUGACAAUGGGCGAAAGCCUGAUCCAGCCAUGCCGCGUGUGUGAAGAAGGUCUUCGGAUUGUAAAGCCCUUUUAGUUGGGAGGCGUUACCAACAGAAUAAGCACCGGCUAACUUCGUGCCAGCAGCCGCGGUAAUAC
rnacentral:rRNA from 1 species